GACGAACGCUGGCGGCGUGCUUAACACAUGCAAGUCGAACGGAAAGGCCCUGCUUUUGUGGGGUGCUCGAGUGGCGAACGGGUGAGUAACACGUGAGUAACCUGCCCUUGACUUUGGGAUAACUUCAGGAAACUGGGGCUAAUACCGGAUAGGAGCUCCUGCUGCAUGGUGGGGGUUGGAAAGUCUCGGCGGUUGGGGAUGGACUCGCGGCUUAUCAGCUUGUUGGUGGGGUAGUGGCUUACCAAGGCUUUGACGGGUAGCCGGCCUGAGAGGGUGACCGGCCACAUUGGGACUGAGAUACGGCCCAGACUCCUACGGGAGGCAGCAGUGGGGAAUAUUGCACAAUGGGCGGAAGCCUGAUGCAGCAACGCCGCGUGCGGGAUGACGGCCUUCGGGUUGUAAACCGCUUUCGCCUGCGACGAAGCGUGAGUGACGGUAAUGGGUAAAGAAGCACCGGCUAACUACGUG
rnacentral:rRNA from 1 species